AUCAAAUCCAGGGCCUCACUUGUUAAAAACAUGCUCUGUCAUUGAGCUUCGCUCCCAGCCCCAUCCCUAAUGAUGCUUCGGGUUUUGUUUUGGUAUUUGUUUCCUUGUGUUACUGGGGAUUGAACUCAGGAGUGCUCUACCACUGAGCCAAGUCCCCAGCCCUUUUAAUUUUUUGAGACAGGCUCUUGCUAAGUUGUUGAGGCUGGCCUCAAACUUGUGAUCCUCCUGCCUCAGCUUCCCAAGUAGCUGGGACUACAGUGCAUACCACCACGCCCAGCUGAAGUUCUUCCCAUGACCUAGAAGGCCUCCUGCCUGACCUCGCCCAUCACUGCUCAUCAUCGAUCAUGUCAAAUCCAGUUCCAGCCAGGCAGGGUGGCACAGGCCUGUGAUCCCAGGCAUGGGAUGGGGAAGCUGAUGCAGGAGAAUCACAGAUUUCAAGCCAGCCUCAGCAAUUUAGCGAGGCCCUAAGCUACUUACUGAGAACCUGUCUCAGAAAAUAAAAAGGGCUGAGGAUGUGGCUCAGUGGAAAAGCACUGCUUUUAAUCCCCAGGACCCAAAACAAACAAACAAACAAACAAAACCAAAAUCCAGUCCCACCUCAGGGUCAUUGCUUAAUUUGUUCCCUCUGCCUGAAAGGCUAUUUCCCCUGCCGGUUGCUUUGCUGGCUCUUCGGGUCAUUCAGAUGUCAGUGCAAAUGUCAUUCCUCUGAGAGGCCAUUCCUAACCCUCAAAAUGCUGCUCUCCACCCCGAGCACCCUUUCUAAUAUCCCCUUUUAUUUUUACUUUGCCCCCUUGGGGACACCUGCCACUUCUGAAAAUACCUUACAUUGUCAGUCAUUUCCGGUUUAUCUUCACUGUUAGGCAUCAUGCUGCGCAGUAGCCUCCUUGCCUGCCACAUCUCAGCACCUGGACAGGGCCUGGCACGCACUGGGCACCCAGCCAGUAGCCGUGGAAUAAAGGACCCUAGUGGGGAUCCGAGGAGAAUCUCAAUCCUGUGACCGACCACAGGUGGCUGACGGCAGUCCCUAGCUCCUGACCCAGGCGGAGGUCCUGCCUCAUUCCUCUGUUGCCUAGCCUGCCCUCUUCCCACGUCUCUGGAGCCACUCCCUCCCAAUCAGCAUCUAACAAAAACUCUUUUGUGAUGUAGGCCUGGGGGAUUCUAUCUGAGUCAGUUGGCCUCUGCAGCUGCAGCUCAGCUGAGUCCAAAGGUCUGCUCAGCGUUUCCAGUGAAA
rnacentral:lncRNA from 1 species